rnacentral:rRNA from 1 species
GCGUAAAGAGCUCGUACGUCGUUUGUUACGUCGGAUGUGAAAACCUGAGGCUCAACCUCAGGCCUGCAUUCGAUACGGGCAAACUAGAGUUUGGUAGGGGAGACUGGAAUUCCUGGUGUAGCGGUGGAAUGCGCAGAUAUCAGGAGGAACACCAAUGGCGAAGGCAGGUCUCUGGGCCAAUACUGACACUGAGGAGCGAAAGUCUGGGGAGCGAACAGGAUUAGAUACCCUGGUAGUCCAGACCGUAAACGGUGGGCACUAGUUGUGGGAACCUUCCACGGUUUCUGCGACGCAGCUAACGCAUUAAGUGCCCCGCCUGGGGAGUACGAUCGCAAGAUUAACACUCAGAGGAAUUGACGGGGCCCCGCACAAGCAGCGGAGCAUGCGGCCUAAUUCGACGCAACGCGAAGAACCUUACCAAGGCUUGACAUAUAGGGAAAAGUGGCAGAGAUGUCAUGUCCGCAAGGGCUCUAUACAGGUGGUGCAUGGUUGUCGUCAGCUCGUGUCGUGAGAUGUUGGGUUAAGUCCCGCAACGAGCGCAACCCUCGUUCUGUGUUGCCAGCAUUUAGUUGGGGACUCACAGGAGACUGCCGGGGUUAACUCGGAGGAAGGUGGGGAUGACGUCAAAUCAUCAUGCCCCUUAUGUCUUGGGCUGCACGCAUGCUACAAUGGCUGGUACAAAGGGCUGCAAUACUGCAAAGUGGAGCGAAUCCCAAAAAGCCAGUCUCAGUUCGGAUUGAGGUCUGCAACUCGACCUCAUGAAGUCGGAGUUGCUAGU